AUCUGCAUUACACUAUUCACCAUGAACGCUAAUAUCCUUAUCUACUUGGUACUCGCUAUUAUUGCGAUGUCCAACGUGAUGUUCGUAGCAGGAGAACCUGGUCCUAACGAGUGUGAUGAUGAGAGGUGCGGAUCAGUGAUCGAUAUGGAAGAACUUCUCGAUGUUUUGUAACCAAUUUUCCAAAAAAUGUAUAACAAUUUUUCCAUUUCUUCUUUUUGAUAAUGAUUAU